rnacentral:rRNA from 1 species
UCCGCAAUGGGCGAAAGCCUGACGGAGCAACGCCGCGUGUGGGAGGAAGGUUUUAGGACUGUAAACCACUUUUCUCAGGGAAGAAGAUCUGACGGUACCUGAGGAAUAAGCAUCGGCUAAUUCCGUGCCAGCAGCCGCGGUAAUACGGGAGAUGCAAGCGUUAUCCGGAAUUAUUGGGCGUAAAGCGUUCGUAGGCGGUUCAACAAGUCUGUUGUCAAAGGUCGCAGCUUAACUGCGGAAAGGCAAUGGAAACUGUGGAGCUAGAGUGUGGUAGGGGUAAGGGGAAUUCCCAGUGUAGCGGUGAAAUGCGUAGAUAUUGGGAAGAACACCAGCGGCGAAAGCGCCUUACUGG